GAUGAACGCUGGCGGCGUGCCUAAUACAUGCAAGUCGAGCGAACAGACGAGGAGCUUGCUCCUCUGACGUUAGCGGCGGACGGGUGAGUAACACGUGGAUAACCUACCUAUAAGACUGGGAUAACUUCGGGAAACCGGAGCUAAUACCGGAUAAUAUAUUGAACCGCAUGGUUCAAUAGUGAAAGACGGUUUUGCUGUCACUUAUAGAUGGAUCCGCGCCGCAUUAGCUAGUUGGUAAGGUAACGGCUUACCAAGGCAACGAUGCGUAGCCGACCUGAGAGGGUGAUCGGCCACACUGGAACUGAGACACGGUCCAGACUCCUACGGGAGGCAGCAGUAGGGAAUCUUCCGCAAUGGGCGAGAGCCUGACGGAGCAACGCCGCGUGAGUGCUGAAGGUCUUCGGAUCGUAAAACUCUGUUAUUAGGGAAGAACAAAUGUGUAAGUAACUAUGCACGUCUUGACGGUACCUAAUCAGAAAGCCACGGCUAACUACGUG
rnacentral:rRNA from 1 species